GUGUUUUGGCAGCACAUAUAUUCAAAUCGGAAGGAUACCGAUAUUAGCAUGGCCCCGGCGCCAUGAGCAAGGGUGACACGCAAAUUCCUGAAGCAUUCCAUAUUUUU
ensembl:snRNA U6 U6 spliceosomal RNA